AACGAACGCUGGCGGCAUGCCUAACACAUGCAAGUCGAACGGGACCUUCGGGUCUAGUGGCGCAUGGGUGCGUAACGCGUGGGAACCUGCCCUUAGGUUCGGAAUAACUCCCCGAAAGGGGUGCUAAUACCGGAUAAUGUCUUCGGACCAAAGAUUUAUCGCCUUUGGAUGGGCCCGCGUUGGAUUAGCUAGUUGGUAAGGUAAAAGCCUACCAAGGCGACGAUCCAUAGCUGGUCUGAGAGGAUGAUCAGCCACACUGGGACUGAGACACGGCCCAGACUCCUACGGGAGGCAGCAGUGGGGAAUAUUGGACAAUGGGCGAAAGCCUGAUCCAGCAAUGCCGCGUGAGUGAUGAAGGCCUUAGGGUUGUAAAGCUCUUUUACCCGGGAUGAUAAUGACAGUACCGGGAGAAUAAGCUCCGGCUAACUCCGUG
rnacentral:rRNA from 1 species